rnacentral:rRNA from 1 species
UACGGAGGGUGCGAGCGUUGUCCGGAAUCACUGGGCGUAAAGGGCGCGUAGGCGGCGCGGAUAGUCGGCGGUGAAAGCCCGGAGCUCAACUCCGGGUCGGCCGUCGAUACUUCCGGGCUUGAGCACUGUAGAGGCAGAUGGAAUUCCGGGUGUAGCGGUGGAAUGCGUAGAGAUCCGGAAAAACACCGGUGGCGAAGGCGGUCUGCUGGGCAGUUGCUGACGCUGAUGCGCGACAGCGUGGGGAGCAAACAGG